rnacentral:rRNA from 1 species
AUUGAACGCUGGCGGCAGGCCUAACACAUGCAAGUCGAGCGGAUGAAGGGAGCUUGCUCCUGGAUUCAGCGGCGGACGGGUGAGUAAUGCCUAGGAAUCUGCCUGGUAGUGGGGGAUAACGUCCGGAAACGGGCGCUAAUACCGCAUACGACCUGAGGGAGAAAGUGGGGGAUCUUCGGACCUCACGCUAUCAGAUGAGCCUAGGUCGGGUUAGCUAGUUGGUGGGGUAAAGGCCUACCAAGGCGACGAUCCGUAACUGGUCGGAGAGGAUGAUCAGUCACCUUGGAGCUGGGCCACGGUCCAGACUCCUACGGGAGGCAGCAGUGGGGAAUGUGGGACAGUGGGCGAAAGCCUGAUCCAACCAUGCCGCGUGUGUGAAGAAGGUCUUCGGAUUGUAAAGACCUUUAAGUUGUGGUAAAGGGCAGUAAGUUAAUACGUUGCUGUUUUGACGUUACCAGCAGAAUAAGCACCGGCUAACUUCGUG